GCUGACCCCUGCCCCAAAUACGCCUGCUCUCAUCGGAUAUUGGAAGCUAAGCAAAGUUGGGCCUGGUUUGUUCUUGGAUGGGAGACUGUCUGGGAAUACCGGGGUGUUGUAGGCU
rnacentral:rRNA from 1 species